UACCAGCACCCCGAGUGGUCGGGACGAUUAUUGGGCCUAAAGCAUCCGUAGCCGGUUUUACAAGUCCUCCGUUAAAUCCAACUGCUUAACAGAUGGGCUGCGGAGGAUACUAUAAGACUAGGAGGCAGGAGAGGCAAGCGGUACUCAGUGGGUAGGGGUAAAAUCCGUUGAUCCAUUGAAGACCACCAGUGGCGAAGGCGGCUUGCCAGAAUGCGCUCGACGGUGAGGGAUGAAAGCUGGGGGAGCAAACAGG
rnacentral:rRNA from 1 species